rnacentral:rRNA from 1 species
AAGGUUAAGCCUCACGGUUCAUUAGUACCGGUUAGCUCAACGCAUCGCUGCGCUUACACACCCGGCCUAUCAACGUCGUCGUCUUCAACGUUCCUUCAGGACCCUUAAAGGGUCAGGGAGAACUCAUCUCGGGGCAAGUUUCGUGCUUAGAUGCUUUCAGCACUUAUCUCUUCCGCAUUUAGCUACCGGGCAGUGCCAUUGGCAUGACAACCCGAACACCAGUGAUGCGUCCACUCCGGUCCUCUCGUACUAGGAGCAGCCCCCCUCAGUUCUCCAGCGCCCACGGCAGAUAGGGACCGAACUGUCUCACGACGUUCUAAACCCAGCUCGCGUACCACUUUAAAUGGCGAACAGCCAUACCCUUGGGACCUACUUCAGCCCCAGGAUGUGAUGAGCCGACAUCGAGGUGCCAAACACCGCCGUCGAUAUGAACUCUUGGGCGGUAUCAGCCUGUUAUCCCCGGAGUACCUUUUAUCCGUUGAGCGAUGGCCCUUCCAUUCAGAACCACCGGAUCACUAUGACCUGCUUUCGCACCUGCUCGCGCCGUCACGCUCGCAGUCAAGCUGGCUUAUGCCAUUGCACUAACCUCCUGAUGUCCGACCAGGAUUAGCCAACCUUCGUGCUCCUCCGUUACUCUUUAGGAGGAGACCGCCCCAGUCAAACUACCCACCAGACACUGUCCGCAACCCGGAUUACGGGUCCACGUUAGAACAUCAAACAUUAAAGGGUGGUAUUUCAAGGCCGGCUCCAUGCAGACUGGCGUCCACACUUCAAAGCCUCCCACCUAUCCUACACAUCAAGGCUCAAUGUUCAGUGUCAAGCUAUAGUAAAGGUUCACGGGGUCUUUCCGUCUUGCCGCGGGUACACUGCAUCUUCACAGCGAGUUCAAUUUCACUGAGUCUCGGGUGGAGACAGCCUGGCCAUCAUUACGCCAUUCGUGCAGGUCGGAACUUACCCGACAAGGAAUUUCGCUACCUUAGGACCGUUAUAGUUACGGCCGCCGUUUACCGGGGCUUCGAUCAAGAGCUUCGCUUGCGCUGACCCCAUCAAUUAACCUUCCGGCACCGGGCAGGCGUCACACCGUAUACGUCCACUUUCGUGUUUGCACAGUGCUGUGUUUUUAAUAAACAGUUGCAGCCAGCUGGUAUCUUCGACUGAUUUCAGCUCCAUCCGCGAGGGACUUCACCUACAUAUCAGCGUGCCUUCUCCCGAAGUUACGGCACCAUUUUGCCUAGUUCCUUCACCCGAGUUCUCUCAAGCGCCUUGGUAUUCUCUACCUGACCACCUGUGUCGGUUUGGGGUACGAUUUGAUGUUACCUGAUGCUUAGAGGCUUUUCCUGGAAGCAGGGCAUUUGUUGCUUCAGCACCGUAGUGCCUCGUCAUCACGCCUCAGCCUUGAUUUUCCGGAUUUGCCUGGAAAAUCAGCCUACACGCUUAAACCGGGACAACCGUCGCCCGGCCAACAUAGCCUUCUCCGUCCCCCCUUCGCAGUAACACCAAGUACAGGAAUAUUAACCUGUUUCCCAUCGACUACGCCUUUCGGCCUCGCCUUAGGGGUCGACUCACCCUGCCCCGAUUAACGUUGGACAGGAACCCUUGGUCUUCCGGCGAGCGGGCUUUUCACCCGCUUUAUCGUUACUUAUGUCAGCAUUCGCACUUCUGAUACCUCCAGCAUGCCUCACAGCACACCUUCACAGGCUUACAGAACGCUCCCCUACCCAACAACGCAUAAGCGUCGCUGCCGCAGCUUCGGUGCAUGGUUUAGCCCCGUUACAUCUUCCGCGCAGGCCGACUCGACCAGUGAGCUAUUACGCUUUCUUUAAAUGAUGGCUGCUUCUAAGCCAACAUCCUGGCUGUCUGGGCCUUCCCACAUCGUUUCCCACUUAACCAUGACUUUGGGACCUUAGCUGGCGGUCUGGGUUGUUUCCCUCUUCACGACGGACGUUAGCACCCGCCGUGUGUCUCCCGUGAUAACAUUCUCCGGUAUUCGCAGUUUGCAUCGGGUUGGUAAGUCGGGAUGACCCCCUUGCCGAAACAGUGCUCUACCCCCGGAGAUGAAUUCACGAGGCGCUACCUAAAUAGCUUUCGGGGAGAACCAGCUAUCUCCCGGUUUGAUUGGCCUUUCACCCCCAGCCACAAGUCAUCCGCUAAUUUUUCAACAUUAGUCGGUUCGGUCCUCCAGUUAGUGUUACCCAACCUUCAACCUGCCCAUGGCUAGAUCACCGGGUUUCGGGUCUAUACCCUGCAACUUAACGCCCAGUUAAGACUCGGUUUCCCUUCGGCUCCCCUAUUCGGUUAACCUUGCUACAGAAUAUAAGUCGCUGACCCAUUAUACAAAAGGUACGCAGUCACCCCAUAAAGAGGCUCCCACUGCUUGUACGUACACGGUUUCAGGUUCUUUUUCACUCCCCUCGCCGGGGUUCUUUUCGCCUUUCCCUCACGGUACUGGUUCACUAUCGGUCAGUCAGGAGUAUUUAGCCUUGGAGGAUGGUCCCCCCAUAUUCAGACAGGAUACCACGUGUCCCGCCCUACUCAUCGAGCUCACAGCAUGUGCAUUUUUGUGUACGGGGCUGUCACCCUGUAUCGCGCGCCUUUCCAGACGCUUCCACUAACACACACACUGAUUCAGGCUCUGGGCUGCUCCCCGUUCGCUCGCCGCUACUGGGGGAAUCUCGGUUGAUUUCUUUUCCUCGGGGUACUUAGAUGUUUCAGUUCCCCCGGUUCGCCUCAUUAACCUAUGGAUUCAGUUAAUGAUAGUGUGUCGAAACACACUGGGUUUCCCCAUUCGGAAAUCGCCGGUUAUAACGGUUCAUAUCACCUUACCGACGCUUAUCGCAGAUUAGCACGUCCUUCAUCGCCUCUGACUGCCAGGGCAUCCACCGUGUACACUUAGUCGCUUAA